rnacentral:rRNA from 1 species
CUGAAAACCUAGCUUACUUUAUUCUUAUGAAUAUACCACCUUAACACAUACUAAAUAAAACAUUUUGUACAUUGAGUAAAGGCGAUUAAAAAAUGUCUAAAAGCUAUAGAAACUAGUACCGCAAGGGAAAAGUGAAAUAUUAAUGAAAAACCUCAAGCACAAAAAAGUAGAGCUAUAACCUCGUACCUUUUGCAUCAUGGUCUAACUAGUUCAACCAAGCAAAAUGAAUUUUAAGUUUGACUUCCCGAAACUAGGUGAGCUACUUAAAAACAGCCUUACGGGCCAACCCGUCUCUGUUGCAAAAGAGUGGGAAGAUUUUUUAAGUAGAGGUGACAGACCUACCGAACCUAGAGAUAGCUGGUUAUUCAGGAAAAGGAUUUAAGUCCUACCUUAAGUUUACUGUACA